rnacentral:tRNA from 1 species
GCCACUAUAGCUCAAUGGCAGAGCAACCGCCUUGUAAGCGGUAGGUUAAGAGUUCGAGUCUCUUUAGUGGCU